rnacentral:tRNA from 1 species
GGGCCAUUAGCUCAUCCGGUAGAGCAUCUGACUCUUAAUCAGAGGGCGGGAGGUUCAAGUCCUCCAUGGCCCA